UACAGAGGUCUCAAGCGUUGUCCGGAAUCAUUGGGCGUAAAGAGCGCGUAGGCGGCCAGAUAAGUCCGGUGUGAAAGUCAAAGGCUCAACCUUUGAAUGCCGCUGGAAACUGUCUGGCUAGAGUCCGGAAGGGGCGAGUGGAAUUCCUGGUGUAGCGGUGAAAUGCGUAGAUAUCGAGAGGAACACCUGCGGCGAAGGCGGGUUGCUGGGCUGACACUGACGCUGAGGCGCGAAAGCCAGGGGAGCGAACGGG
rnacentral:rRNA from 1 species